AACUGCAUCGAUUUCUUUCAGUUACCAAAAAAAAAGGACAUUUAUACUUCCAGAACAUUUUCUUUAUCACCUCUAACAGCAUGAGAUAUCGAUUUAACUCACGUAUUGCUUACUAAUGGAAGCGAUUAUUCAUUUUUGCUUGUGAGCACGUAGAAACCAUGCUGUUUAAUUUUCGAUGGCAUUGUCUUCAUUUCUCUACUUUAUUUAAGAAAAAGAACAAGAAGUAGAAAUAGAUGUCAAAGAAGCGGGAGAUAAGCAACAGGAAUCGGCAUAAUAUGCGUUCCUGCUGCAAUUGGAAAGCAUGACCGGAUGGCGAUGGGGAGAUGCCGAAGCUCGAAUUCCGAUGAAGCCAUCGUUAAUUUCUUAUGUUUCGUGCGCCGAAAUAAAUCUUAUAAGCUUACUUUCUUUUUUUCGAGUUUUAAAUUUUACAUUAAUACUAAUUUUAAAAUUUGUACUGAUUAAGUUUCUCUUCCAAGGUAAAAAAAAAAAAAAAAAAAAAAUUACUAUUCUUGCACUGCUGGAAACUGUACAUUACACACCAGUGUAAUGUUAAAAAUCAUUAAUUAUUUUAUUUUUUUUAUUUACUGCAACCAACAAUGUUUUCCUAAACUUUUCUUCAAACAAAACACCCUUCCAUUAGCACAUGGAAUACUGUAGAAGACGAUAAAGAAGGAAAGACAGUUUUUAAUGAUUUUGGAGCAUGGUAAACCUUCCGUAGCAUUUAUCACAGUAUGCAUUAUGCCCAUUAAUACCCGAAUGAAUAAAGCUAUGAGAAACCAGUAA